UUCGCAGUGAAAUUAAUAUACUAGGCCAAAAACGAUUGCAAUAUUCAUCCAGUUUUGUCCAUUCCUCAGAGUAAUAAAAAUCUCGAAGGACAACACCAUUGCAAAUAUUGUUGAACAGAUUUGUGACAUCUUCAAUGGCUCCCAGGUUGUGUUGAAGGACCUUUGACCUCACAAGCAACGAAACAUCAUCUUUAGUGUCAAUAAGCCUGUCCAUGAGAAAGGCGAAAGAGGUAACAUAAUGACGACUUAAUGGGUAGCAUUGCUCAUAGGCAAUGAGAUUCCUUAAGAACGAUGGAGUGGAGUCCUUGAUGCACAAUACUGGAAUUCUGAAACAGGUUUCACGAACAACUAGAGAACCUGACCCGGGAACAAGAGAUGAUUGUUUAAAUUUCACUGCAAGUAGCGAAUCUUCAUCUUUGUGUGCCUUGAAUGUAACUCCAGCUCCAGCGAUUUCAGUCGCAGAGUAUGAGAUAUUUGGGACUCGGCCUCGCUUGUUAGCUCUUGGCCUGUAGCAGCUUUGGAGAAGCCCGAGGAUAUGGCAAUGCUCUGCUGGUCCCUCAAUUGUGGUAAGCUCGCUAUUAUUUAUGAUAUUCAUAUCUUUGAAGAAAUAGAAGACUAGGUCAGUUAACGAAAUUGACUUCAAGAUCCGUUUCACAGUUAUGCUGAACAAUAUUUCAAGAAUAAAGAAUGGCAUUUGAUUCUCUAGUAGCAGCAAGUCGUGUUUAACGUCAUGUAUCACCAGAAUAUUGUCAAAAAUUGGAUCCCCCUCUCCAAUUCCAUAUUCGAACCUGUAGAGAAGCUCAAGUAUGAAGCAACCAUCAAUAACCAUCAUUUCAGCGAACUUGAAAUUUUCAUAAUUUGUAAAACUUGGUGCAUAGCAAGCUCUUGCACGAGUUAGAAGCCCAAGAACUGCUUGUACACAGUUAUAAGUUAUUUGCUCUAUAUCCUUCUUUGUGGAUUCCACAGUUCGACAAAAUAAUCGAUACAUGUAAGUCACUUUAUGUUCCUCCAUAGCUUUAAGAUGUUGGUCCUCUUUGUGAAGAGGGCCGAUUGAGGUGAUUCGAGGUGUGUAUGCAGUUGGGUUGAGAUUUCGAAGUGUAUCGGGAACCAUACAUAUUGUGACAUUAGAUUGCUUGGAAUGAUUCGUUCUUGCUGAUUCACCUUCUAUCAGUUUACUGAUGGAUUCGUGAACCUUCUUUCCAUAGUCGUCGUCUUCUGUUCCCAUAAUGAAUCCUGUUGCUAACAGACGACUUCUUCAGGUAUAUCUACAAGAAUUGAUCACAAUAAAUCUGGUUAGUGUUAGAUGUUUGCAACAAUGAAUAAUCAACUUACUUGGCACGUUCAAGGUAGGUCCGGUGUUAAUGUUCUGGCUUCAAAUUAUUGACAUAGUAUACGGUAGCAGUUGGCUAUACUAUAUCAUGAAGAUUUAGUUGAAUAAAUAAUUAGGUAGUGUGUGAACAAAGUCGAAGUCUAUGUGUUCACAUUAUUAUUCAUGUAGUACUUUAGAGCAAAAUUGAUUAAUUUUUUUAAUGCCUAGAUCAAAGAUGAUGACACAAAUGUAAUUAUCAACUAUUUAAAUGGUAAUGUUGACUUUUUUAAAUAAAUGAGUAGGGUAGUUAUGGUAUAAGAAAUUAAAAUACCCAUUAACUAGUAAAACAAUUUAGCAACAUCUCUCUCUCUCUCUCUCUCUCUCUCUCUCUCUCUCUCUCUCNCUCUCUCUCUCUCUCUCUCUCUCUCUCUCUCUCCAACCGUCAUAUCAAUCAACUUACCUGUAAUUGUAACAUCCGAACUUUUGAGGUAUUCAAUUCAAUUUAAUUGAAUUAAGUUUUGGGUUGUAUGACGUGGUGGAGGCACACCACAACAUGGCAUAUCAAGAAUGUCCGCAGACUUUAAUUACGUCGCUACAACGUGGUAGUAUUUGUGCCACGACGUGGUAGUUGUCCGAGAACAAUAACCCCAAAUUUCCGAAUUUUAAGCCAUAUUUAAGGAAUGUGUGAGCUAGACUUUACUCACCCUCAACCUCCAAUACUCUCUUUUCAAACCGUAAUCCAUUCUAACAUUUUUGAUUCCAUUUUUGAAGAAACUUGUGGUGUUUUUGGCCUUUUCAAGGAGAAGGAACCCCAUUUGGUGUGUUAGUUCACCUUGGACGCAUCAUCUUCAUCUUCUAGCAUAUCUUCUAGACCUUUGUAAGUGUCCAAGACUCAAUCUUUAUAUUGUUAGGUAGUUAGAUCUGCAGAUUUGUCCCAUGUUCAUCAUGUCUUGGUGGGCUGGGGUGGUGAGAUCUCAUAAAAUUUGCAAUUUUAUGAAUCUUUGAGACAUUUGGGGUAUUUGAUUCUUGGGAUUUGAACGAUGAGUGGGUAUUGUAGCAUGCAUGAGGUUUUGUUCAUAAACCCUUAUUUUGACCUAAUAUUAAGUGAAGACAUGAUUUAGCCAUGCAUCUCUGUAAAGUACGGAUUUUAUGUUAGUUUUUGUAACGUGCCAAAAAUUAUUAGGUAAAAUUUCAUUUUUAAAUCAACACAUAAGCACCAUUUAUUCUUAUCAGCCAUUCAAAAGUAUAUUAGAGUGAAAAAACUUAUUUGAAUACAAUCCCAAAAACAUAAAGUGCAAAAACAUAGGUGGAUGUGCUGCGAUCAAACUGGGCCCUUCCCCUUUGAACUGGAAAUACCUUAAACUAUAAUAAUAAAAUGUAAGUAAAAAUCAUAGUGAGUACCCCAAAAUACCACAUGCCAUUCAUAUCCUUAGGCCUAGCCCUCUCAUUGGGCCCAACCCACAAUAAUAGGCCUAACCCUUCCUAACCAAUGAGCCCAACACAAUAUACAAUGCAAGUCAUAGAGACAACUAACAUCCUACAUACCAUACAUCCAGCAUAGCCCUUCCUGAUCGAUGGGCCCAACCUAACAUAUAAAUGGUCCUAGCCCAACAUAUUAAUGGGCGUAGCCCUUCAUACAAUGGGUAUAGCCCAACGUACCAUGCAAUAAUCACAAAGACAACUAGCAUAAUAGAUCCUAGUAGAUCAACAUUGGUGCCUGCGACCCACGAGUACAGUGAGGAGAUUUACCUCAAUUCGAGAUAACCGAAACACUCACGUUGUUGGUACCAGGAUCCUCACACUAAACACAACCAAACCAUCCCUAAUCAAUAAGUAACAUAAUUUCCCAAAAUCCAAGGUCCAAUUCAUUUUUUGUCAUUCCAAUAAGUAAAAGAUUAUUUUACCCUUCCCAUACUUAACCUAAUAACUCAUGGCCUAACUCCAAUAAGAUACGAGGCCCACAAGGCUCAAGACGAGAGUCUUAUGAGUACAUCCUGCGUUCCAAACUCGUACACUCCGAUUACUGCUAGUUGAUUCCUAAUUUAUAACUCGUGACAACGAGGAAAUGGGGAAACCAUGCAUUACACUGAGCAUACGCAUACGUACGCCCAUCGUACCCCCUUGGUGACCAUUUCUCAUUUUUAGGAUUUAAUGUGUAAGACCAAAACGUCCAAAAAUCAUAUCUAAUCUCUAAGAGAUGUCAUAAUUCAUAAAGUUCAUGACUUUAUAAUUUUACAUGGCUUAAUGGGGUCCAAACCAAGGCCCUUGUCUCAAACUUCAUCUAAAGACCACAAAUUCAUGCAUGAAAUGUUUAUACUCAUCAAGAUCCAAAUUUUAUGACUGAAUAACCUGAACAAGGGCCAAAUAUGAGGCUCAAAGGUUUUGGAGUAACUUCUAUUCACAAGAAUCACAAUCAUGGGAGUAAAACAUGAUAAAUCACAACCCAAACUAGAUCUACAUGAGAAAGCCAUCAAGAUUAAAACUUUAUACCUCCAUAAGCUAGAUCAAGAAGAAAAAGACCUAGAUCUCUAAGCUCCAAGACAACCAACACUUCUCCAAGGAGUUAUUUUUCUUCCAAAGGCACCAAAAACCCACCAAAAUCACUUCAAGGCUCCAAAUCCUUCUAAAUGUUGGCUAGGGUUUCGAAUUUAGGGUUAGAAGGGAUGGAGACUAAAGAUAAGGAGGGCUGGAAAUUAGUUAAGGCCUUUAAAUAUGGUCCAAGACCUAAAAUUAGGUUUUGCAUCUGAUUCGAGUAUGCCUUAUACGCCCAACAUACUCGGCUUAGUCCAGGUACGCCCAGUUUACUCAAAGGCACUCCGCGAUCAUCCCAGCCUAGUACGCCCGAAGUACGCCCAACAUACUCGGCUUAGCCUAAUAAUCCUUCUAACAUCCGAAUUCCAUAACCUCUUCAUUCUACUUUUGGGUUCAAUGAUCCUUUUAUCCACAGAUAGGUAAUGAGAAGCCCUACACUCCUAUCAAUUCUCAUUCUCCUUAAAACCUUCCGAACUUAAAUCCUGAAUUCAUGAAUGGCAUGAAGCAUCACUAUUACCAUUAUACCCUUGGGCUCCGAAGCACAUACUGAACACUUUGUACCCAUAACAUACAUUACCCACAUCCAAAUGGGUCUAAACCUCUCUUUCCCCAAAGCUUAAAGCCGUAACAUAGUUGAUCUUCGGGCAAUGGCCCCUAAUUAUGAAACAAAUCGAAACAGGGUUUUACAACUCUCCCCCACUUAAAUUAGAUUUCGUCCUCGAAAUAACUCCUUGCUACCUUCCAGGAAAUCAGACGAGCCGACUAAUUCUUCUCGAUCCCCACUUUGUCCACAAGGUUGAUGCAUGCACAUGAAGACUUCCAAUGUUACCAUCAAAACCCAAUCAUAGUAGGACCCAUAUGCCGUGAUGGAGAUCAAAUUGUCAAUCCACUAACUUUUAUAAUACAGAGAAACCAGCACUUACGCUGCUAUAAGUUCGAAAUACCUAAAACUAUACCAUACCUCCACACAAGCAGAACCAUUCUGAAACACAAUCACUAGGACCUCUAUCUACAAUCUGAACGGAAUAACAUCCUUUUGAUCCUUAAUUAUCCAACUGUUACCAUUCACAGGCAGAAUCUUUGACCAUACCUUGUUGAUGAUAAGAUAUUUCAUAUAAACAAAGACGACUCCCAAUGCGAGUCUCAUCCAUUUGUCUACCCGGAACAUAACUCACAUCCUGAAAUCCAAAGAAUUUCACUUGCAUUCUAUCUAAAAUCUUCCGAUUCAACGGUGAACUUCCACUGAAUGGAGAUAUAAAAUCCUCAAUUAACUGUGGAUAUUGACAGCCUCACACCUGGUUCCACUACAAGGCUUCGCCUAACAAUCUAACCGAUAAGGGCUAGUCUAGCCUAUUCGCCCCAUGGAUAGCAACCACUGAGCACAAAGUCAUCCCACUCUACACGUGAUCCAAUACCUUGCUCAAGCCAAUAUCCCAUCGGGUCUCUCCCACUCUAUCACAACCAAACAAUCAUCACCCAAUCUGCACAGCCGAACGAUCCUCGCCCAUGGGUCUCACCCAAUCGAGUGAUGUACAUGCCUAGUAUCGCCUUAGAUCCAACGAUCCUCAUACCAAACAAAGAGCAGUCAUCCAAUAAUACUGUACGCCUCCACCUAUGCAUGCACUGAUCCUCCUUCAGCCUAACGACCAUUCCUAUAAUGGCCUACCUCAUUCUGGUCAAUGCAAUGAGUACAUCAUGGACAUACAACAUUUCCCCGACAACCUAUCAUCGUUGUGUGUGAUACUACUACCCAGUAGUCUUACAACACUCCCACAUCAACCAUUGUGACAACCCUAUAUUUUUCCAAAAGCAAUGUAACACUCAAAAGUCAAAUACAAUGAAAACUAUUUGGAAUCAACGAAAUUAACCUCAAAAAUAAAGUGUUCAAAUAUCUAAAUUGGGAUACAUCAAAUGUUAGAUAUCGUGCCAAGGUUUCCAAAAACAUAAAGAACAUUCGAAACCGGGUUAUAUUGAAGAAACUAUAACCACUCAAAUAUUUACGUCACACCCAGUAAAACACUAUUUAACGUAAAAAGUGAAAUUACAAUAAAAUGCAUUCUAGCCUUAAGUAUCUAACAAAAAAAGUUGUAGAAUUCGUUAAAUUGUAAACGUACAUAAUAAGAUCGCCCAAAUUGGACCUCGUAUGAAGAAAUUACGAAUUUUCUAUGUUUCGUAACAAUAGUAGAGGGCUAAAAACUCGAAUUGAAGAUCGAACGAUAUUUAGCUAACGCAACCUAAACGAAAGUUGAAGGUCUCCACAAUAGGAGUAAAAUCCUAAAAAGGCAAACGAAAACCAACGUCUGAUAAAGAAACUAUGAAUUUUUAUCGGACUUUAGCAGUCCCGGCCUAUUAAAAACAUAGUAUUAAAAAUAAAGUCAAAACUAGCCGACAGAGUCUAAAUGAAAGUUGUAGAGCAUAAUCUCACCUACGCGUGGAUAUAAAGAACGCAAAAAAACGGAGCCCGUACGCGAAUGUUACGGAAUUUAGAAGAUGGAAGCCAGGAUUACGCCCAGCGUACUCAGGUGCAGGGUCGAGUUCCAUCGGCUGCAGCUCUACUCCUAGCUAGACUCGAGUCGUAAUGCAUGACGGAAAGUUACGCCUGGCGUAACCGAAGUACGCCCAGCGUACUCGCCUUUCCAGCCCUAUAAAUAGAAGGCAUAAGAUCCCGAUUUUUGGCACAGAUUCUCAAACGGACACUCUCACACAUUUGCAAGCAUUAGAAGCCGUCCCAACACCCUCGAUUUCCGCACCCAAGCCCCGACGAAGGUUCUACGCCACCGAGAUCCCCGAGAAGCUUGGAGACGCAACUUUCCACGGUUGAAGUUCUGCUCGACUUUAGACCCUCUCUCUCUCUCUCUCCAAACCAAACAAGUGAGUUCAUACCCCUACUUUUCAAGUCUUUUCAUGUUUUAGGGGGGGGUGGGGGGAAUACAAGUACAAUACAAGAAAACGUAUCGUUUUAUAUAAACUUAAAUGCAACCACUAUCUUUACGUAUAAAAUUUAGUAUAUCACCAAGUUAUUUUCACCAAAUGGAACAUACUUUCUGAAAAACUAUAAUAGGUAUAGUUUGCGAGUUAUUUGUACAUUCUUACGUAUACAUUUUGAAAAACGAAAUACUUUUAUCUAAAGUGAAAUAAAGUCUUUCUUAUCGUAAAUCUAUUUAUACUAUGGAAUGUGCGAUAUGCAAACUUCAACGUACUCUUAUGUAUGCAUUUCAAGUCCUGUAUUAUAAGCCAUAAUCACUUGGAGGGAGAGUGUGAUACUUGUGUAUAGAUCUAUACAGGAUUGACAACCCCGCACCUAAACUGUUAGCUACAGUUAGACCGGCAGGUCUCGGGUGACAAAUGUCAUAACACUACAAUACCUGAAGAAUGUUGUUACAGGCAGUCUGUGUCAAUAGUAUGGUUAUAAAACUCACACGAAAGUAUAAAAACAAGAUGGAUUUACGAGACUCAUAUAUGCAUUCAGUAUUUACAUUAUUUUGAGCACAAAGUUUAUCUUUAUCAUUCAAGUACGAAAAAUACUAACGCACUCCAACUUUGGGAACUUUUUAAACUAAAUAUAGAAAAUAUUGGAUUUUCUAAAAACCACGUUCAUCGAUUUUCUACCAAAAAUACAUACUUUUCAAUACAAAACACUUAUGAACUCACCAACUAUAUUGUUGACACUUUUUCGAAACCACUUGUAUUUCUCAGGGAAUCAGUAAUACAGGUAACUACCAACUUUUGAAGAAGGAACGCUAAGGAUGUUUAUUAUUAAACAUUUUACAUCAUCAUAUUGUAAUAUUCUUUAGGAAACAUGUAAAACACAACAAUGUACAUUUUUAUUAUAUAUGUGAUGGCUGUGUUACUUUCUUUGCAAUAUUCAAUUGUUAUGGUACUACGUGAAGUCAUCCACUCGCGAAUGUUUCCGCCAUUCUGGUUUGGGGGUGUGGCAGAUUGGUAUCAGAGCAUUGUUUAUAGUGAACUAAGUAUAUCGAACCACAUAAGAUAUACAAACUAUAAAUGCAAAGGGGACCAAAAACCCUCUGACAAAACGUUCUCAUAAACAAUAUAUAUUGUCUUUUAGAAAUAUACAUUUUUACACGCAUGUAUCAGUCUCGUAUCAUGACAAAGUUUUCUAAAAAAAAAUAUUAAGGCAAGUUGCGACACUAGGAUUGGGCCUCGAGGUAUGUAAUCAAAUCGAGAAUAAAUAUAGCCUGAUCAACUAUAUUUAUCCUGGAUUUGACCAACGUACGUCGAGGAAUGGUCGUAGUGGACAACAAGUCAAAAACUUACCAGAUAAAAAUUUCUUUUAAACUCGUAAAUUUGAAAUACUAUAGGAAAAUUGUUAUAAAAUAAUAGGACAAUGAAAAACCUGCACACCAUAAGAUGUAGUUAAGCUUAGGAUGCCGUUAAAUAAAAAAAUUUCUUUUCUUAUCAAAAUCUCAUACCUCUAUCCUAGUCCAGACAUCGGGAGAUCCCUACUACCCAAACCAAGGCAACGGCAGAUGGAUAGAAGAAGACCCGGAAGAAGACCCGGAGGAUAUCGAAGAGGAAGUCGAAGUUGGAGAGGAAUUCGAAGUCGACGAAGAGGUCGAGGAGGAAGAAGAAGCUACUGAUGGGACAGACUUCGAGCCGGAAGUAAUCGACCCUCCCACUCCUCAUCCUCCCGAAGUUCGAAGGGCUUGCCAAACUCCCAUUCCCAUCUAGGGAAGCCAUCUCUACUACUGGAGCCGCCAACUAGGUGUACGCCCUCCUUUCGGCAUGUGUCGAGAUUUUUACAAUGUCAGUGGGGGAGGCUCAGCUGAUCGAGCGCUUCCCGAUAUUGUGGGCACUAUAGCCACCCACAACUACCAUGCGGACAUGCAAGCGGCCAUAGUUUGUGAGAUCAAUGCUGCUACACAGGGUAACACCGCAGACAUCCGUCGUCUGGAAGGACUACACGAAAAUACCCAACUCCACACAAGGACGCUUCAGAACCAAAUGGUGACAGCACUAGCAGAAAUAAGAGAGAUGAAGGAACAAAAAGUAGUUAUUGAAAGGCGCCUAAUGGGAGUCAACCAGUCGGAUGCCGAGUCUAGCUCCAAACGCACAACACGCCGCAAGUAGAACUUGCUCAACUCCAACAAUUUUGAUAUAGAAUAGGACCUCGGAUAAAGUUUUUCUUAUUUCCUUUGUACUUGUAAUCGGAGACCUCUAGAUAGGUCAAAUUUUCCUAAACACGAAGCAUAAUGUAACACACCGUAUGUGUGACAUAUAUAUAAAUAUGAAGUACUUCUUUACAUACCUCUCAAAACUUAUGGGAUUAUCUAAAUUGUUAUAUCUACUUUGAAACCAUAAACUAAAGUCAAAACAAAUUACAAGAUACAACUAACCCUCUAGUACACGAUUGUCAAAUCAUUGGAAACUUAUAGUGUUCAUUAUUAUUUCUCUACCAGAACAUGCCUCCUCGUAGAUCAGCACGCAGAAACUCAGCUCCAACACCACCUCCACCGCCCCCUCCAACUAUGGAUGCAGCUAUGUUCCAGACUGCUAUAACAGCCGUUGUAGCUGCAACGAUGGCUCAAAUGAGCAACAACGGGUUAGGAGGAGGAAUAAACAACUUUACAAAUGGCCAAAGCCAAGGCCGUUCCGGGGGUAUGUACUUACAAAGACUUCACCAACGGAAAACCUAUUCCCUUUUAUGGGACUGGAGGAGUGAUGGCUCUAUCCCAAUGGAUAGAGAAAACGGAAGCUGUAUUCGAAAUUUGCGCACGCCCUGAAGAAAGCAAAGUAAAAUUUGCUGCCUUUACGUUCUCUGAACGAGCCCUGACAUGGUGGAACGGCCACAUCAAGGCACUAACCCUAGUGGUGGCGAACUCCAUGGGUUGGGAAAACCUAGACUUUCCUACGCUGCCUUUUCUUCUCUCAUUACUUCUACCUCUUGCAAACAGUCCUUGUGCCUACUUGUAACAUCCUAUUUCGGAUCAUCCAAGAUUAGGGUUGUGCGCUGCAACCUGGGCACGAGGAAGUCUCGGGGUUGCGACGAGUUGUUGGAAGCAUAGAGCAUCUUGACACCUUUCCGAGGAUAUGAGAUUCAUUGGGAAGCGGAGUUAUAUCAAGGAAGCCAUGAAAAUUUGGAGUUAUGGCAGGAUAAGUCCUUUAACUGAAAAAGGUGGCAACAGGGUACGCUGGUCGUACGUGUGUGUACGCUUAGCGUACUCAUGUGCGUGAUCUUUAAGCAGGGCCACCUAGUAUGUUGGGCGUACCAGAGGGUACGUUGUGCGUACAAGGAACAGAAGGAAAACCCUAAUUGUGAGGAGUGUCCCUAUAUGAAGAAUGAGAUCGCCUCAUUCCUGGCCACCAUCCUCAGUCCAUAAACCCUCUCAAACCCUAAUCCUCGUUCUUGAGCUUGUGUGUGACCAUGGUGAGCUUUUAAGUGUUCUUGUUGGAUUAUUGGAGUGAAGAAGGAGCAUGGAAGAGAAUAGAGUUGGAUCCCAGGCUUUGGAUCUGAGCUUUUCUGUGGUUGGGACAUCAUUUAAAGAUAUAAAGCUCAAAGCUUUCAUAUCCUUUUUGUUUUGUGCAUGAUAUGGUCCAUUUUAGGGUUUUUGGUCCCAAAGCUUGAGGCUUUAUGAGUUCUUGCACUCCAGAGCUUAAUAAUUAUCCUUUUAAGUGUUUCUAGUGUAGAGAAUCCAUAAAAAUGAGGUCUUGAACGUGAGGAUCAGCCCAUGCAUGAGAUAUGAGCAUUUUGAGUUAAGAGAGUAAAAGCUUUGUGUGUUUGUGACCUUAGCAGCCAUGCAAAGGCUUAAAGUCACUGACUUUAUAGAGUAAGAGCUAUAAGGGAGUCCAGAUCUGAGAAAUGAGCUAAGGUCUUAACGGGUUAAGACCAAGAGAAUGGGCUAAGCAAAGUUGAGCGUACGCCCCGUGUAAGAUCCAGUACGCCCCGCGUACUGGGUUGGUGUCCCCGAUCAGUUUCAUUCAUGCGUGACUACGCUGAAUGUACCAAAGGAGGUAGUAACCUCACUGUGGAAUUUUGGGCUAAGUCGCAUUUUGGGCCUAGACCUUUGGGCUUGUGUAUUAGGGACUGUGAUCAAAGAAAUAUUAUAUUGAGCUUUGGGCCCUUGGGUUGGGCCUGUCGUUUAAAUUGAGAAUUGGGCUUUGGGAGAGCCCAUUUAUUAUUGGGCCUUUGUGGGCCCAAUAGGUUUUAGGUCAUUGAUAGGCUGGUUAGUGGACCACCUUUAGACCUAAUGAGUGAGAUUUUGGGCUUAGUUUCUAAAUGGGAUAGUUGUGGGUUUGGCACAGAGUUAGUGGCCGGUACGCAGCAACAACAUUUAUAGAGGUUGUUCAUCAUCCGAGGUGAGUCUUCUCACUAUACUUACCAUAAGUGGUAACUUAUGUUUGACCAGAGGGUCUUAUGUGUUAAUAUUCAGUACUGUGAAAUCCUGCAUUAUGUCUAUGUGAUUUAUGUUGUGUAAUAUUCUGUGCUUACUGAGUUAGGAUCGGAGGGUCCCACUGAGACACAUUGACCGAAGGGUCUUAUAGUGUUAUGGCCUCGAGUGGCUAAUGAGUUGUGUGUGCGGUAUUUUGGGGAACCCACUAAGCUACGUGCUUACCGUGUUAUGUGAUAUGUGUUUCAGGUUCUUCUCAGGAUCGCGGGAGGGUGCCGGUUCGAUUGUACACACCAGAGAAAGAGUUAUGUUUUGAGGAUCCUGGAGUAUUAAUUAAACAGUUGUGGAGUUGCGUUGUAAAUUAAAUAAAUGAGAUUUAAGUGAACCGUGUUAUGAGAAUUAUGUGAUUUUUAAAAUGAUUUUUUUUUCAAAAUUUACGAUGUUACACUAGUCUUUGUUACUAUUAGCAACAACCAUGUCACAGGUUGCAGUCUUUCGAAUAUCAUUCGCUAGAAUUGAAGUUCUGGUCUCAUCUAUCAUAAGACUGUUUCCCUCAAGCGUCAACGUUUGUACAAGAUCCUCAUUAGACUUUGGCAACAAAAGAAGUAGUAAAAGUGUUUAAUCCUCAUCUUCUACCUUCAGUUCAAUGUCUUUUAAAUUUUAUAUACACCUAUCAAAUUUACUAAUGUGUUCCCGGAUUGAGGAACCUUCAUCCAUUUUGCAAGAAAACAACUUGGACUUCAAAUAGAUCCUGUUUCUUAGAGUUUUCGUCAUGAAAUUUGCCUCCAACUUUUUGCACAUCACAACUGUCGAUUCCUCGUUACCUACCAAGAAAGCAACAUCUCUUUCAAAGCAUAAAAUGAUCAAUGCUCGUGCUUCAAGAUCUAACUCCUCCCAAUCCCCAUCGGACAUAUCUUUAUGCUUCAUUGUCUUACUCGCCAAAGCCUUAUGUAACUUCUAUGAGAUUAGUAAACUUUUCAUUUGCGUCCUCAAAUCAGAAAAAUCAUUCCUCCCAUUAAACUUCUCUAAUUCAUACUUCCUAACUUUAACCGUUCCACUCCUAGAUGUCAUUUACCCGCUUGUUUCGAAUCUGCCUCUCUCAGGACUUUUAUCAAACACCUUGUGUGCAAAACACAAAAUACCACCUAAAUAACUCAAAUCUGAGCUCUACCACCGGAAUUUGAUAUUAAGCUCUGAUACAAAUUGUUGUUCCAGCAAAAACGCAAAAAUCAAAAGAAAAACAACUAACCUUGUGUAACCUAGAUUCCCAUUUUUGCCCUUUGGACCCAAAAUGAAACAAUGACAACAAUCAAGAAAUGAAAGUAAAUAGAGAAAAAAACAAGAUGUUUACGUGGUUCAGCAAAUUUACCUACAUCCACACCAAAAGAUAGAGUCUUUUGUAUUAGGUUAAGCAAUUUACCUCACUUUUUCCUCUACAAUACUUGAUGUUCUUCUCACAUACUCUAACCCUACCUCUCUUCACUAAGAAUUACAUAACAAAUAAGGAUGAGCUUUUUAACUUUGGGCCGAAACAGUUGGACCAGAAACUUUAGCUGGGUUGGGCAGACUCAAGCUCACUAGAGUUGUCUCAAGCUUACUAGAGAUAUAUCAAGUUCACUAGAUAGACCACUUGAGCUGACUACAAAUGACUAACAACACAAGAUGAGGAAGAAUGGUUGAUUUAGUUUUUUAAUUAAUUAAAGGGAGAAUUUCGUAUAUACCCUUGUUAAUCUUCAAAAUAUUGUAUUUGCCCAACCUAAAAUCUAAAUAUCAUAUAUACCCUUCUUUAACCUUUAAAAUAUCAUAUUUGUCCAAAUUUAUUUUUUUAAAUACUAUUAAUUAGUUUUUAUAUUAUGUAAUCAUUUUAAUUUAUUAAACAAGCUAAUUGACCAGAUUGCCCUUUAGCUUUAUAACCCUUUUGCCAUACAUUUGAAUUUAAUGGACCGAAACACCCCUAGCUAUCUAACCCUUUUUCUCAUCACCUAGAUGGAUAUCGGCACCUUCUGAAAUUGGAACGACAACCAUAUUUGUUGGUCUUUGCUCAUGACAAUAGUCGAUAUCUUCAGGUUCCGUUUAACUCUUGAUUCAGCGUCCUCUGAAUCUAAUUUUCUAGGGUUAAUUUCGUCUUCAGGUAAUUUCCUGAUUGGGAUUCAUUGAACAACAUUAAACUCAGGAUCAAGGGUGGUGUGCGAAAAUUACAGGUGAGAGAUUUACUUUGGAUUGCAGAAAUUGGCAAGUUGGUACCAUCUGAUAAGAACACAUCGCAUGCAACACUCGCCAUUUAGUGUAACAAAACCCAUUUCUGAUUCACCUGUUAGCUGUUUUGGGAUGUUAGUUUCCUUUUUCCAACCAUUAGAAUCCAUGGCAAUAUGGCAUAUGUGUAAUCAUGUUCAUUCAGAUGUCAUAUGACUUGAAAAAUCAAAAUCAGAUCAUGACUUCAUGAGUUUAGAAGUUACCUAAAAAUGUCACUUUUAUCAAGCAUGAAGACACUGGGAGGACCACCAUUUAUAUCUUCAAUUACAAUGAUUCUCCCUAGCCUCCUCCUCUCACCUUCCUCCCACAUAUGUCCAAGUUCUAUCCACGUCCCAUUCUCACCGUUCUUAAACCUCAUCAUCAUAACAUCUUUGUAAUACUAAUCCACAAGAAAAACACCUAAAAUGGUUCUUGAUUCACAUAUCCACACAUUAGUCAGAGCACACACAAGGCUUUAAUAAGUCUAAAGACCAUUCAAUAACAACUCAAAAUCCUUCUUCUUCUUUAUCUAACAACUCUUUAGAUUUAUCACCCAACACCUCAUAUCUUAAGAAGUAAGAAUUUUUAAAAGAACCCACUCACAAACCCCUCCCUCUUCCCAAAAAAGAGACCACGAGUCACCAUGGAACCUCCAGUCAAGCUUAUUAUGUUCAUGGUCAUAAACUGAUAAGGUUCCUGAUGUCUAAACAUUGGGUCAAUAGGAUAAGUCAAGGUCAAUUUGGAACGACCCAUUUAUGCAAUGAGAUCGCAAGAUGGAUAGAUAUAUACGUGUAAACUGACUUUGGUCAAUCCCAUGUAAGGCAAAAAAGGUUUAAAAUUAAGGGCAAUUUGGUCAGUUAGCUUUUUUUGAUAAAUUAAGAUGAUUUUAAAAUAUAAAAAUUGAUUAAAAAAGUUUAAAAAAAUGUUUAAAAAAUAAUUUUGGGCAAAUAUGAUAUUUUAAGUAGUUAAGAAGGGUAAAUAUGAUAUUUAGAUUUUACGUUGGGCAAAUUCGAUAUUUUGAAGUUAAGAAGGGUAAACACCCAAUACAUUAAACUAGUAAUGGUAGGUUAUAGGGACUAAAAAGACGGUCACUUCACAGUUUGUUCCUUCAUAAACCACGGAAAAUAUUUAAAGGACUGAACUGACAAAUGUUCAAAACAUCGUAGGGCUAAUGUAUCAUCUAUACUAAUAAAUAAAACUCAUUUUUUUCCACAUGUCAUGUCCUCAUUGAUUUGGACACAUGGCAUUUUAAUAGAUUUUUAGAAUUUAUUUAUUUCCACAUGUAAUUUUUUGAUUUGUUCACAUAUCAUAACUUAUUUCGGUUAUAAUAUUGAGAGAAAUAAAUGCUUCCUUGAAAAAGAAUUGAUAAAUUUAUAAUGUAAUAAAUGUCAUAAUUAAUGAGAGUUCUAAAAUUGAUAUUGAUAUUAAAUUUAAUGUUUAAAUAUUGAUAUUAAAUUUUUAUUUUUGAUAAACCUGUGUAUUACACGGGUCUUACAUCUAGUUUUCCUAUUAAAUUAAGACAAGAUAACCAGCAGGAUGCUGGGAAUGCUACAAGGAAAGUGAAACAAAACAGAAGUGACAACUACCACACCAUGCUAAAGUAGGAAAAAAAAAAAAAAAAAAAAAAAAAAAAAAAAAAAAAAAAAAAAAAAAGACAACACCUCGAUAUAGGAAAUGCUAACCAGCCAAACAGACGACCAUGCUAGAACCAGUACAAUCAGAAAACUGAUCUCCUUGAAGACGAGGAACAUUCAAGACAAAUCAAACACUGCAGCACGUAACUAACACCUUCGAACCCCAACCACAUGCUAUAAAGGUAAAACAGAUGCAAUCAAUAGGAGGCAACACCAAGAGAACCGACUAUCAGUCAAACUGCAACAGUAACCAAAUUAAAAUGGCCAAAAGUACUAUUCCUAGAAGCAACACCAAGAUUACCAACUUGCAGAAAAAUCCAUUAAGAAUCCAGAUUAGCACCACCAUGAAAACCGACUUGACUUGUAUCCAUAAGAAUAGAAUCAGCACCAAAUUCAAAUCUUCAGACCACCAAAUUCAGAUCUACAAACCACCAGCAAAUUUAAUAAAUAGUCAAUACCAAUAAGGCCUAACACUUAACAAAACUGUCUUAACAUUCGAAACAAGUGUGUAUUUUUUUACCAAUAUACAAAUUGUCAACAAAAAAAUAAACAAAAACACAAACACAAACAAAAAAAAAAAAUUAAAACAAAGAAAAAAACAACUAACCUAACACUGAAAAAGUGUUGAUUAAAUUUCUAAGAUUAUGGGAUAUAUAAUGCUAGUUUUGAGAUAGUUACAAAGUGGAUUGUAUUAGGGAAAACUAAAAAAAUUUGGCAAAGUGUUUACGUAUUUGUAUUCACACACACACGUCUUCAGUACUUGGCAUGCCUUUUUCUAGUAACAAAUUGAAGGAGAAAACCUUGGCUGUAACUUGGAAUAUUCUGAAUAAAAAACUACUAAUACAAGGAAUAUGUAAGGUUGAAAGACAAUUUCAAAAUCCAAAAAAGUUCAGAGAAAUUACUUUGGUGAGUCUUCGAAUUGGUCUCGAACAUCUCAAACAGUUCUAAGCUCUAACACUAUAGAUAGUUUGGAGUAAUGUUAGGGUGAACAGUACCGAAGCACCAAUGACUGUCAACGUUUUCCAGGUGGUACUUCUAUAAAGGCGUCUCAAUGAAACUAACAUGCUAGGCCAGAAACGAUUGCAGUAUUCAUCCAAUCGUUUCCAUUCCUCAGUGUAAUAAAAAUCUCUAACGACGAUGCCUUUGCAAAUAUUGUUGAAGAGAUUUGUGACAUCUUCAACGGCUCCCAGGUUGUGUUGAAGGACUUUUGACCUCACAAGCAACGAAACAUCAUCUUUAGUGUCAAUGAGCUUGUCCAUCAGAAAGGCAAAAGAAGUAACAUAAUGACGACUUAAUGGGUAGCAUUGCUCAUAGGCAAUGAGAUUCCUCAAGAACGAUGGUGUGGAGUCAUUGAUGCACAACACUGGAAUUC
rnacentral:lncRNA from 1 species